rnacentral:rRNA from 1 species
CCUACGGGCGGCAGCAGUGGGGAAUAUUGCACAAUGGGGGGAACCCUGAUGCAGCGACGCCGCGUGAGUGAAGAAGUAUUUCGGUAUGUAAAGCUCUAUCAGCAGGGAAGAAAAUGACGGUACCUGACUAAGAAGCCCCGGCUAACUACGUGCCAGCAGCCGCGGUAAUACGUAGGGGGCAAGCGGUAUCCGGAUUUACUGGGUGGAAAGGGAGCGCAGACGGCUGUGCAAGUCUGGAGUGAAAGGGGGGGGCCCAACCCCCGGACUGCUCUGGAAACUGUAAAGCUGGAGUGCAGGAGAGGUAAGCGGAAUUCCUAGUGUAGCGGUGAAAUGCGUAGAUAUUAGGAGGAACGCCAGUGGCGAAGGCGGCUUACUGGACUGCAACUGACGUUGAGGCUCGAAAGCGUGGGGAGCAAACAGGAUUAGAUACCCCAGUAGUC